UUUUAUGUGUUUUUGUUGUCAAAGUCAAAUCUUGAGUUGCAAGGUUGAAAAAGCUUUUUAGUGGACAUUUGAUUUAGAAUUCUAGCACUCAAUUUCACUCCCUAUUGAUUUGAACAAGUUUGUAUAGUGGAAACACUUUGAUCUGGGCUGAAUUGAGUGUUUAGAAAUGUCUAAAAUCAAAAGUCAAAGUUGAGUUGGACCAUUUUUCUGUUCUACAGAAUUCUGCAGCAAAUCUGCAUAAUUGGCGUUGGGCGCCACUUAUCUCACGCCCAGCGCCAUUUCUCCCUCCUAUUGGGUGAGAAACAACAGCAAUCCACGCCCAGCGCCACUUAUCUCACGCCCAGCGUGAAUGUGCAGACUUUGAGUCUGACUUGGGCUGAUCUGCAUAUGGCCCAUUUGGCCCAUUUUCUUCAUUAUCUCAUCCAGCCUCUGUGCCUCACUCACACGUAUUCAACCCUCCUCUCUGAUUUUUACACCUUCACUCUCACUCUCUCACGACAUUACCCAUUCCUUCUCUCCACCAUCAACAACUUAGGCCACUCACCCAAUACCCCACAAUUUGUUGCCACUGCACACACCCUUUGCUCCCCAAACAAAUCCCUAUCACACUCUUAACCCACUCACGUUCACCACUAUCUCUCAACCCACCACCUCUACAUUUUUCUCAAUCCCUCUCAAGCCCCUCUCAUUUUUUCCCUUUCCCCAUAACCAACAUUCUCCUUCAACCCACUCACGUCACCACACUCUCUCUCGCCCCAACCACCAACACAUCAUGUUUCCCCCCUAAACCUCCACUGCCCA
rnacentral:lncRNA from 1 species